rnacentral:lncRNA from 1 species
UCACAGACAGUUUUCACUAGGAGAAAACUACUCUAUCUGUACACAAACUAAAGACAACCUAGGCCAGGGACUUACAUUGCUGGCAGUUUUCUCUGUAAGAACUUGUUACCUGGCUUCAGACCUCAUUCAUUGCAUCCCUAUUCAUAGAGCAGAAGCAGGCACACCAAUGGCUAACACUUCCAGUGUCGUUAUUGGAGAAGAUGCUCCAGUAGAAGGGAUGUGGUUUAAGAAGGGGCUAGUGGCCAAUUCAUACACGAGGAUAAUGGGAGAAUGCACACUAGAAAACAAACCACCAAUCAAAAAGGAUCAAGAGCAGAGCAGGCAGUCUGACGGAAGAGGACACCUAGAGUAGGCAGUCUGAUGGAGGAGGGCAGCCAGUGCUAGCAGGUUAGUGUGUGAGCAGCUAGCACUAGCAGGACACAAAACUUUGCACUUUUCCCUCUUCAGUAAUCCUCCAUCCCCUGACAUCACACACUGUUAACCCGUUAGCCUGCGGAACUUGCAGCUUAAGCCAGCCACCCCCGUGGUAGCAUUUUAAAAUGUUAAACUACUCAACACCAAUCGUGACUUUUUAAUCAAUAAACAUUAAUUUUAAAAUG